rnacentral:rRNA from 1 species
GUUGAUCCUGCCGGAAGCUACUGCUAUCGGGAUUCGAUUAAGCCAUGCGAGUCGAGAGGGUUCGGCCCUCGGCAGACGGCUCAGUAACACGUGGAUAACCUGCCCUCAGGUGGGGGAUAAUCUCGGGAAACUGAGGAUAAUACCCCAUAGGCAUCCUUUGCUGGAAUGCUUGGAUGCUCAAAGCUCCGGCGCCUGAGGAUGGGUCUGCGGCCUAUCAGGUAGUAGUGGGUGUAACGGACCCACUAGCCAUCGACGGGUACGGGCCUUGGGAGAGGUAGCCCGGAGAUGGACUCUGAGACACGAGUCCAGGCCCUACGGGGCGCAGCAGGCGCGAAAACUUCGCAAUGCGGGAAACCGUGACGAGGGAAUCCCGAGUGCUCAUGCAAUGCAUGGGCUUUUCUGAUGUGUAAAAAGCAUCAGGAAUAAGGGCUGGGUAAGACCGGUGCCAGCCGCCGCGGUAAUACCGGCAGCUCGAGUGGUAGCCGCUUUUAUUGGGCCUAAAGCGUCCGUAGCCGGUCAGGUAAAUCCUUGGGUAAAUCGCACAGCUUAACUGUGCGAAUUCCGGGGAGACUGCCUGACUUGGGACCGGGAGAGAUUGGAGGUACUCCUGGGGUAGGGGUGAAAUCCUGUAAUCCUAGGUGGACCACCGGUGGCGAAGGCGUCCAACCAGAACGGCUCCGACGGUGAGGGACGAAGGCCAGGGGCGCAAACCGGAUUAGAUACCCGGGUAGUCCUGGCUGUAAACGCUGCAGGUUUGGUGUUGGAGAUCCCACGAGGGUGUCCAGUGCCGGAGAGAAGUUGUUAAACCUGCCGCCUGGGGAGUAUGGCCGCAAGGCCGAAACUUAAAGGAAUUGGCGGGGGAGCACCGCAACGGGAGGAGCGUGCGGUU